ensembl:snRNA Gm22208 U6 spliceosomal RNA
GUGCUCGCUUUGGAGCACAUAGAAAAGUUGUAUACAGAUACAGAGAAGGUUAGCACAGCCCCUGUGCGAGGAUGACAUGCAGGUUCAUGAAGCAACAAGAGAAAAUAUUU